GCCUGUUAUUUUGCUUUGCUAAUCUAGGAGCCAUGAAGAGAAGUCCAUAAAUAGGUAUUCUCUCUGCAUGUAGUUUUAACGUGUUCUUUAAAAAAAGGAAGGGAGGAAUUGCAUUGGCCUGAGGGCCCGAGAAAGCAAACUCCAUCAUCAAACCAUCUAUUUACAUAACUGCUAGCACUUUACAUUUUUCAAUUUUACCUGACUAUAUAUAAAAUAUAUGUGUUUUUACUGCCAAGCUAACAUGAAAUGAUAAAGAAAUAAAAUGCUGAUGGAAAAUCAAGGUAUUAAAUUCUUCAUCAGAUGGCAGAAAAAAUGAAAAAGUCAGAGGAGAGUUUAUUUUGUUUCCUUAAGGGAUUUCAAAGAAGAAGAAAAUAGAACUAACAGGCAUGUCUUAACUCCAGGGCGUUUCAACUCUUGGAUCUAAAAAGAUAACAGAUUCAUGUAUAGUUUCAGGAAAUGCAUCCACUGGUGUAAUUGGAUGGACUUGCUGAACAACACAAGAUCUUUAGGAUCUUGACUGAUUUCCAUAUGGUUAUAAUUUAGGGAAGAUGUCAUAUUACUUUUAUGUGAAUCUUGCAGCUAAGUGUCCCGAAUUCUUUUACAGUUGCUGGUUGCAAUAGAGAAAUGCAGAGGGAAGGCUGCAAGAACAGAAAAACAGUGACUUCACAAACAAGGAGAAACAAAGGGAAGAAGGGGAUUUGCCAACUUGGCUCAGGAGCAAACUAGACAUGAAGUUAACCCAGUGAAUGCAAUUAACACACCUAUCUUUUAAAAUGUAAACAUAAGAUGAUAGAACAAUAGAGUUGGAAGGGAUCCUGAGGAUCAUCUAGUCCAACCCCCUGCAAUGAAGGAAUCUCAACACGCUGGUCCCCAUCUAGUUUGAUCAUAGCACACUCUGCUUGAUUUUGCAAAUGUGCACCCUCUGCAGGUGCUGCAGAGAGUGAUUUGGUGUUUAUACACUGGUGUGUGGGAAGACUCUGCUCUCCCAAUGUCAUGGUCCUAAUGAAGCUGUCUUUGCCCUAGGAGGGAAGCAGCUUUUGGCUCUAGUGGACCAAAAAGUGGUCUAUAAAUGAGCCACAGAACAGCAGCUGGUGACAGUUUUCUGAAGGAGGACUGCUGCUACUGAGAUCAGCACAGUGGAACAGAACUUGCCCACUUGCCAAGUAUAGAAGCCGUUGUGAACUUCUAUCUGUGCUUUGCAUACGCACAAACACACCCACACCAGGACAGAAGAAGGCUUCUGUGUUUUUCAUGUGAACCACCAUUCAAAAUCUUAUCCCAAAAACUCCAUUUGAAGUGAAAUGGAUGAGACGUCCUGCGAUGACAGAUAUUUAGUCUUUCAAGAUCUGUUCAUGUGGAUCAUGUUUAAUAUUGCUUAAUUAUAAAUCUUUUUUUAAAAAAAUAGAUUUUUAUUGAUUUUCCAAUAUCAUUCCAAUAACAGCCUCAUUAUCUCUUAUCUCAUUGUAUCUGGCACACGCCUGUAAUUUACUCCAAUUAAAGUCCAAUUAACAGGAUAACCUGUGCUUCCAGGAACGGGAUUGUGGGUGGGUGCCCCAGAGUGGCUGGGCAACCCAGUCAGAUGGGCAGCAUACAAAUAAGAUCAUCAUCAUCAUCACUAUUUAGAUUCGUUUUACUUUUUUUCUUGUCAUAAGGACAUGUGAGGCUCAUCAAGUGAAAAGUUUAGGGUGCCAAAACAGUGAUUCUGAUUAAAAAGGGGUUUAAUUCCAGGAAGAUGAAUCUGUGGCCCUUCAGAUAUUGCUAGACUACAACUCCCACUAUCCUUGACCAUUCCUUGCUGGGGUUGAUGGGAGUCCAAAAACAUAUGGAGGGCUGCAAGCUCCUUGUCCCUGACUUACUUUACAUAGUAAGAUUUCCUCACAAAUCUUCCAGGUUUGAUAUCAGAGUUAGUACUGAUUAGCUGAACAUUGCAAGCUGGGGGUGUAUAUGGUAGAGCCCAUUCCAGUCCCCUCUGCUAUUAUUUUUAACCCACCCAAGGCAUAGAAGUCAAAUGAUGCUCUUGUAAUUAACUCAGCCCUUGGCCUUGAACUAAAAGGUGCACUAAUUGCAGAGACUUUUCUCCUGGCGUCAUUUCAUUUUUGUACUUUUAAUCUUUCCCAGUCCUUCAGAAACAAAUAACAAGUGGGUCAAAAAGAGUUUGAAGCUAUGUAAGAUUUCUUUUCGCAUGGAAAUUUCAGAGAGACAAAACACUCACACUCUCUUUUUAAGUUCCUGCUUCAAAUGCAGCCUUUGUCUUGGGACCUGUGUGCGAUUGCCACUAAAGAUGCAUGAAGAAAUUGGUCUUUAUUAAUUCCUCAGUGAAUUGACCUGAGCUGCAUUUCUUGGAGUGAUGUGUGGAUGAGAACUUAUUUAUCCAUCCAACUUCACACUUAGUUCUUAGCAGAAAAGCAUAUCAAAAUGCUUCUCUGCACAUUGUGGAUGGUAAAAUCUAGGAGGAGGAGGUUGACUAGAUUGGUCUAGGGAGCAGUUAAAGCCUCACUAUAUGGGGGAGUUCUCCUUGGUCUAUCAGUAGAUUUGACACCACUGGAAUUACUCAGGGUGGUGUAUGAUGCUUGUUGGGAAAGCUCAGAAACAACAUAAAUGGGAUCCAUCACCAAAAUUAAGCAGUUUAAAUGUAUAGGUAUCAACUUCACUAUUUUAGGAUCCUUUAAAGCAGGGGUGGGUAAGGUUUCUAAGCUUGAGGGGCACAUGCCAUUGGUAGAUGUGUUUAUUGAGUGUUUCAGGGGUUUUGUGGUUUUUUAUUGUUGCAAAAUAUAUUGGACAUUGCAAUGGAUCAUGAUAUUUAUUUAAAGUGAUGUCACUUUACUAUUUCACUGUUGUAUAACUGAUGGCCUUUGGCUAAAGCAAUAAAGAUAUGGAUUUGGAAAAGUAUUCAGCAACACGGCAGUGGGCAGGGUUCCUGCAUUGCAGGUUUGGACUAGAUGAACCUUGGGGUCUCUUCCAGCUCUACAAUUCUACGAUUCUAUUAUAUUAUUCUAUUCAAAUGAUGAAUAUUACUGUAAGAAAGUAAUGAUUAGAUGGCACAAGUCACCAGAUAAUAUCAGAAUCUGCCUUCAAAUUCAGAUAGAAGGACUGUUUGAGACUUGCUCUAGUCUUCCACUAAGCUUCGCUUUCAUAUUCUCCCUUCUACCUUGAUAUAGACAUUGAGGUUUUUCCUGCCCCUCUCUAAAGUAUCCCACAUGAGAUCUAUUCAUUACUCAUGCUUUUCCUUUGCAUAUGGUGCCUUCUUCUGCCAUAUGUUCAUGCCAAGAUUGCAUGGCCAUGGAAAGGUCCUGCAGACAUGUAAUUCCUUCAACCUUCAUGCCCUUCCUCCUCAUCCCAGUUUUCCAUGACUAUCUUUAGGAAAUGAUGUUAUAAAUUAGGUGUUCUCCCUUGGAAGUGAUUUGGGGCCCACUGUAUCUUCCUCAAUUAUUGUCCAUAUGCUUUCUUGUGCUGACUCUUUAAGGCACAGCUCCUGUGGCCCCCAUGCUAAGCUGCUUCUGAAUGAGACGGGGAAAUGGUGUUCUAAUUCACAUAUACGCUUCCAUGUCAGCCUCUCUAAUGGUUCCCUUGGUGACAGUAAGUUUGAAUUUUCAAUCAGUUCUCUGGCAUGGUGCUUCAAAAUUUGUUUAGAUGAUUGUUUAGCACAGACCUAAUGAGCGCAGUCAGGCUUGUAAUGGAAAAAAGAGUUUAUUGAGCAGACAGAUCUCAUGAGUUGGAAGAGAUUUUCUGGCCUUUGGUCAGGCCUUAACAGGUCAGGAAAUGUUAGUUCCAGCUUUGAUUGGGACGUAUUUUGUUCCCCUUCCCUUUCACUUUCUAUUUGCUGCACCACUGUAAAACAAAUGUACCUGUAUGAUGUAAUGUAUCCUGCAUGAAUUGCAGCUGGAAGGGUCCAAAUCCCAGAAUUAGCUUGUUGGGGCCAACUAUGGAGAAGGUAGCUGAUCCCACUCAAGGAUACCCCGCUGCCACCCAGAUUAAAAAAAACAGGAACAAGCAAAGUACGCAGAAAUAAAGAAAAAUGGGCCUGAUCUGUCUUCCUUAAGCACCUCCCUCUCCUACUCUCACAUGUACAUAGGGAGCAGCAUUCAUCUCUGCAGGAGAGACUAUCUGUCCCAUGAAACUCAGCCAACUGGUGAAUACCAGGAAUAGGUAAAUCUGUCAAUUUAACAUUCUCUCCAUUUUGAAUUUUUCCAUUCUUAACUUAUGUUUUUCACAUUUUCACAUUAGUUUGUGAUUUUUUUAUGUCCUCAUGAAAAUUCAUCAACAUUCUAGUGCACUUUUCUCCUAAUAUACCAUUUUUCUUAGGAUUUUUUUUCCAAUCUAACAUUUUUGCAUUUCCCCUAAUAUAAAGCAUUCUUGUGUGAUAUAUUAACUAAUAUAUUCAUCUUGUGCCACACUUUUUCCUAGUACAGGCAUGGUCAAACUUGGCCCUCCAGCUGUUUUGGGACUAUAAUUCCCAUCAUCCCUGACCACUGUUCCUGUUAGCUAGGGAUGAUGGGAGUUGUAUUCCCAAAACAGCUGGAAGGCCAAGUUUGGCCAUGCCUGUCCUAGUACAUGCAUCCUAGUACUCAAUACUUGGCCUGAGAACCUGUUUGCAAAUGUGAAUUUCAAAGGAUGAUUGUGUUUCAGUUAUCAUUUUGUUUCUGAAAGUACAAAUUAAGUAGCUUCACUUUUAAAUGUGAACUGAUUUGAAAUCUUCCCCAUCCCUAGUGGAUACUGCUCAAAGGAAGCUGUGUGAGAGCAACAAUUUCCAACUUAGUUGAAGCAUUAUUGCUGGUGGUUCUCAGCAUGUGAAGUCUUGACAUGAGCCGACUCUCCACCCAGAUGAAAGAAUUGCAAUAUAACACAAUUAUUUCAGCAGUUGCAUAAGGUCCUAGAACUCUAUAAUUCUAUGAUUCUGUGGUGCAGGCUUUACUGGUUACAUCCUUUAAUCAUUGUUUAUUUACCUGUACUUUGUAUCUGUACUCCUUAAGUUAUUGAUAAAAGAAACAAUAGAAAACUAUUUGUAUAGUAACUUCCCAACUCUACCAUUGCCUGUUCACUGUGAAUUUGGCAAUUAAAGAGGCCUGGGUGCAAGUGAAGCAUGAACAGCAAGCUUUUUCUUUCAUAAACUGACAGCAUGAGCUCUCCCUCAUCUAGAAUGGGAACCUUGUCAGAGGUAAAGGGACAUGGCUCCAAUCAACACUGUCAAGACAUCUUCAAAAAGCUUUUGAUAAAGCCCUUCACCAAAGACUCCUAUGUAAGCUUAGCAUUCAUGGGAUAAGAGGACAUGUCCUUUUAUGGAUCAGUAACUGGUUUCCCUUAAGGGUGAUCCAGGAAUGUUGAUUUAUUAAUUUGAUCUACUGCAUUGUAAUGUAUUUUGCAUUUGUUUUACAGAUAUAAUUUCAUUCUUGAUUUUGUGCUGUUCACUACCAUGAUUCCCUACCUCAAAUAUGGCAGUAUAUAUAGUUGUGCAAAUAAAAUUAAUCAGUAAAACCUUUCCCAGGUUGUAUGUACACAAUGCUGACUGGAUCACCUCUGUCCAUAUGCUUGUUGAUGCUGUCAGAUAACCCUCCUACUGCUACCCCAUCCCAAGUUUCUCAACUAGAUCAGACCCAUCAUUCUUUCAAUUUGCAAAUGAAAAGUUCUGAUACAUUUGAUGAAUGUAACAUGGUGUCUGGCUUCUGUAGCAAGAAUUGAAGAGGCCUCCUAGAUAAGAAUGUAAAAUUAAACACCAUUGUCAAGAAUUCUUGUAUGUCUGUCCAUGUCCACCACUGCAUAUGAAUGUACAUACCUGGUGCAUCACACAGCAUCUUAAGCACAAAUUGGAACAUGGGUUCUUAAUACGAGAGAUUUUUAUUUUUUACAAGUGGUGUAUCAGUUUUAGAUUCUGCAACCUUCUAUAUGCUGAGAUUGUUUUAAAAGAUGUCUUUAUCCACAUAGGUGACCAUUGGGACUGGAUCUUUAGAUGCAAAAGCUUCUCUGCCGCUGUUUGAAAAAGAUCUCAAUCUACCGACUCUGCAGCCGCCUAGGCCUGCAAGCUCUGUUCUCUCCUCCAAUGUCAUAUUCCCUGGUUGCCUUCAAGAGCAGGGAGUAAAUCAUCCUUAGCCAGGUGCUAAUUGCUUUCAUGGUUUUCAUUAGGCAGACACCAGUGAAGCUGGAUUAUUUCUAAGGGGACAUUCCUAUUUUAUCAGAUCCAUAACACCCCUUUUCUGAUUAUGGGGAACUGUUGGCAG